UUAUAAAUUGAUGAUUUAAUAUUUGGUGAACGCCAAAGACCAACAACUUGAAACACCACAAAACUUCCAGAAAAAAUUUGUGGGAGUUUGAUACAUGUAAAUAAAAUUCUAAGGAAAAUUUAAAAUGAUUAUUUAAAUUAUCAAGGGGAAAAAAUACUUGCAUAUGCAAAACAUUGACGUGGCUAUGUUAAACCCUUCACAUCAUUAUUUAUUCAUAAAAAAAAAAUUGCAUAAUUUGAUAGAUGACAUAUUGAAACAUCGUACAAAUUGUCGACAUGAAAUUAUGGGAGUCGUAAUAUUUCCAAGAAAAAAAUAGAGGAAAAUAAAAUUAUUACGAGGAAUUGUAAUAUCAAGUUACUUGAAUAUUCUGGUAAUUUUCAUUGGAGGGAUUGUCAUCAUGAAGGGGUUAAAAAGUAGUGGAAGGAAAAAAAAAAAAUUGCGGUGGAUAGAUGCUCUAAAGUCAGUUGAAUAAAAUCACUCAAGUAAGAAUUUUUUUUAUACAUUUUCAAGAUAGUAGAAUAAAUCGUGAGCUAAAAUUUUAAACAAUUAAAAUAUAAUUAAUUAAUUAAGGCAAAAAAAAUUUAGGUUUUAUAUUUCAUUUAUUUGUUAAUUUAAAAAAUACAUUACAUGCAAAAUUUUAAUUAGUAAAUGGAUAAAAUUUCAUCAUUAUUUUUACGGGAUAUUUUUACGGGAUAUUUUAACGGGAAAAAAAAAAAAAUUAUUACAGUGAAGGGAUGUAUUUGCAGGUAAAUUUUCAUGGAUAAAAAUAACAUUUAUAGAUAGGGGAAUAACCCUUCAACAAAAAGACAAUAUUGAGUUAUUUAAAAAAAAAAAUAAUAGUCGUCGGUUGACUUGUGUUUCGAAGUAAUAUUUUUACGUUAUUUCGAAACAUGUUAUUACCGUAAUUGUCGUGUAUGUAUACGAAGAAUAAAUUCGCAAGAAAAUAAUACACAAGAAAAAUUGCCUCACUUAAAUAUUCAAUCGAUAGAUAAUAGUACAGAGGGUGAAAUAAAUAGAAACAGAAUAACAAAAAAAAAAGGGGUAGGGACUGCGUGUAUUGUGAACUCAGAGGACAGUCGUCAACUACCCUCC